rnacentral:rRNA from 1 species
GCGUGGGGGCACCCUGACCGCAAUGCCGCGUGAGUGAAGAAGGCCUUCGGGUUGUAAAGCUCUUUUGUCAGGGAAGAAACACCGGCUCUAACACAGUCCGGGAAUGACGGUACCUGAAGAAUAAGCACCGGCUAACUACGUGCCAGCAGCCGCGGUAAUACGUGGGGUGCAAGCGCUAAUCGGAAUUACUGGGCGUAAAGCGUGCGCAGGAGGUUAUACAAGACAGGCGUGAAAUCCCCGGGCUUAACCUGGGAAUGGCGCCUGUGACUGUAUAGCUAGAGUGUGUCAGAGGGGGGUAGAAUUCCACGUGUAGCAGUGAAAUGCGUAGAUAUGUGGAGGAAUACCAAUGGCGAAGGCAGCCCCCUGGGAUAACACUGACGCUCAUGCACGGAA